GAGUUUGAUCCUGGCUCAGGAUGAACGCUAGCGGCAGGCUUAAUACAUGCAAGUCGUGGGGCAGCACAGUGUAGCAAUACAUGGGUGGCGACCGGCAAACGGGUGCGGAACACGUACGCAGCCUUCCUUUAACUGGAGAAUAGCCCCUCGAAAGAGGGAUUAAUACUCCGUAACAUGUUGAUAAGGCAUCUUAUUAAUAUUAUAGCUCCGGCGGUUAAAGAUGGGCGUGCGCCUGAUUAGGUAGUUGGCGGGGUAACGGCCCACCAAGCCUUCGAUCAGUAACUGGUGUGAGAGCACGACCAGUCACACGGGCACUGAGACACGGGCCCGACUCCUACGGGAGGCAGCAGUAAGGAAUAUUGGUCAAUGGACGCAAGUCUGAACCAGCCAUGCCGCGUGGAGGAUUAAGGCCCUCUGGGUUGUAAACUCCUUUUAUCUGGGAAGAAAUCCAUAUAUUCUUAUGUGGUUGACGGUACCAGAGGAAUAAGCACCGGCUAACUCCGUGCCAGCAGCCGCGGUAAC
rnacentral:rRNA from 1 species